CGGCCUAGAAGAAGUCGCCCCAGUCGAAUUAGUAUGGCCAACGACAAUAAUUAAACACUUUAACGCUGAAAAAAAUGAAGAAGCUAUUCAUUCUAAUAUAACAAGAAAGCAUAGAAGAGAUCAGAGAAGAAGCACGAAUUAAAGAAGAGAAGUAUAAAAGAAAAUUGGGAAAAUACUACAACGUGAAGGUCAAAAGUAAGUGUUGGUGUGUGUGCUCGCAGGUGUAAGCUCACAACCUCAACUCUCCCAAGUGUUCACUCUCC
rnacentral:lncRNA from 1 species